CGGACGGGACGGCCCGUUCGAAACACUGAACACGAGGACGACCUCG
rnacentral:ncRNA from 1 species